GUGGGGAAUUUUGGACAAUGGGCGCAAGCCUGAUCCAGCAAUGCCGCGUGCAGGAAGAAGGCCUUCGGGUUGUAAACUGCUUUUGUACGGAACGAAACGGUCCUGGCUAAUAUCCGGGGCUAAUGACGGUACCGUAAGAAUAAGCACCGGCUAACUACGUGCCAGCAGCCGCGGUAAUACGUAGGGUGCGAGCGUUAAUCGGAAUUACUGGGCGUAAAGCGUGCGCAGGCGGUGCUGUAAGACAGGCGUGAAAUCCCCGGGCUCAACCUGGGAAUUGCGCUUGGGACUGCAGUGCUGGAGUGCGGCAGAGGGGGAUGGAAUUCCGCGUGUAGCAGUGAAAUGCGUAGAUAUGCGGAGGAACACCGAUGGCGAAGGCAAUCCCCUGGGCCUGCACUGACGCUCAUGCACGAAAGCGUGGGGAGCAAACAGGAUUAGAAACCCCAGUAGUCC
rnacentral:rRNA from 1 species